AAGGAAAUUGUUCGAAACUUUAUCAAACUCAUUGAGAGAAAGGAGGCUGGUGGUUCAUGAAAAUGUUUAGUGCUGAAUCUUAAUGCAUUGCAACAUUUGUGGUGUGAUGACCUAAAUUUCUCAUAUUCUCAUUAUAUAUUUUAUAAAUUAUUUAAUUAUUAUUUAAUUAUUUAAUAAAAGAAAGACAAAAAAUUAAUUUCAAAUAAUAAUAAUAAUAAUAAUAAUAAUAAUAAUAAUAAUAAUAAUAAUAAUAGAAUUAAUUACUUAGAUAGAUAAAAGUACAAAAUGCGUUAAUAUUUUAAUUAAUUUUUAUUUUAAUUUAUGUUUGAGAACUAAUUAUCAAAAUAGAUAUCCAAUACAAAAUUCUUCAAUUUACUGGUAAAUAUUAAAGUAGAAUUGAAAAAAAAAACAGAGAUAUAACCUUUAACUAAAUAAAUUUAUUAAUUAAAUAAUGUUACAAUAAUAUUUUAUUUUUAUUAAGUUAAUUUAAUAUAUAAUUUUAUCUUAUAUUUUUAGAUACAAAUUAGAGUCUAAUUUUAAUUAUUGAUAGUAUAAAAUAUUUUAUAUAAUUAUUUAAUUAUGUUUAUUUUUUUGGAUUAUCAUUUAGGUGAAUGCAAUCAAUAUAAAAGAUAGUUAUUUUUUAUGAUAUGAUAUUACGUCAUUGAAUAUUUGUGUAAAACUACUUUACACUAAUAGUGUAUCAAAAUUAUAAAUUGUACCUUAAAAGUAUCAACUUCGAUGAAAAACAAAGUAUAUAUUCUUAUUUUAUGAAGUAGUAAAAGAAAAAUAAUAAAUAUAAAAUUAUGAGUUGAGUCUCAAAUUUAGAUUCAUGUACCACAGAAAAACACUAUAUAUAGACUUUAGUAAAACGAAAAUAAAUAUGUAAAUUAUUCAUUAUUAAGAUAAUUUUUUAUUAUAUACAGUAAUUACGCAUCGUAUAUAUUAAUUUUGUUAAAAUUAUAUAAUUUUGUCAUAUCAUGAUUAGAAUUAUUAUCUUCUAUUAUGAUCAGAGAAAUUCUGGACAAUGAAUAAGAAUAUUAUACCUGAUAUACACAGAUUGAAAUUUAGAAAUAUAAAUUCUAUUAUAUCUUCUUAAACAACUCUACACUAAUAAUAGCCCGUGCCAUGUCGUAUUUUCUAAGACUUAUAUUUAGGAAUAUAUAGAAUUUUAAUAAUAAUACACGGGUAAUUGAAAUAGAUUAUAUACGGAUUUUUCAAGUUAUUAUUAUUAUUGGAUAAUGAAUAAGAAUUAGAAUUAUAUAAAUAUUUUUAAAAUUAAUAAAUUAAAAUGACUAAAAAUAUUUAAAAUCAAUGUGCGUUAUUAAUAUCAUAACAUUUGAUCAUUUUAUGAUUAGAAUCAAAUAUUCUUAUCAUGAUUACCACGACCGGUGCCAUUAUCAUAUAUUAUUAUUAUUAUUAUUAUUAAAAUGAUUAAAAGUAUUUUUAAUUGAAAAUUGAUAAGUAGUUUAAUAAUGCAUUAAAUAUUGAUUUGAUAUAAUUAUAAUGAAGAUAUAUUCCUAAAUUAGUAUAAUUAUGUAUUAUUUAUUAAAUAUUAAUUAUAAUAUAAUUAUAAUAAAGAUAUUUUGUAUAAAAUAAUUUAGAAUAAAAAAAAGUGUAUUUAUUUUGGAGGAAAAACAGAGUCACGAGAGAUCGACACCUCACCUUCAUUAACCGGAAAAAAACUCAAUUUUAGUAUAUUAUUAAGUAGAUUUGAAUUCCUUUUUAAAAAAAGUAAUUUUUUUAAAGAAAUUGAUCCAAACGGGCCCUUAAUUUUUAUAUUUAAGUUUUUGAUAAUCCGUGUUAGUGUGCAUAACAAAACAAGGCGAGCUUAAAGGAGACUGGUCGUCCUUGGAUCAUGGCUACUAUGUCACUGUCGCUCUUUCAUACUUCAUUUCUUCACCAAAACCCUUCUCUCUGUUCCAAACGAUCCCAAUCCCCCCACUUAACCCUCAUUCUCCGGAAUCAACCCACUUCAUCACUCAGUACUUCACUUUCCUCUUCCCUUUUCACUUUUUUCUUUCUUCCCACCUGCAAAUGUCAAUCCUGAUUUUAUUUUCUCAAUUGUUUACGAUAAAAGUUUUGGUUUUUAUUGCAGGUUUAAGUGUAUCGGCAAAAAGGGAAAAUGGGGUGGUUCCAAAAGCCACAGGGGGCGUAUUGGAAUCGAGUUCGAACUCACCCGUUUCUGCUAAGAACUCCACCAAUCCGAUUGUUGUGAUUGACAACUAUGACAGCUUUACCUAUAACCUUUGCCAGGUUCAUUAUUUUCGCCACUUUUGUAGUGUCUUCUUGAUGUUUACAAUGAUUUGUUUUCGAUUACUUUCACUGGUUAGCUUGAGGUGAUGAUAUUUAGGUCAUUGGCUCACACGAAUUGACUGAUUAGAAGACUUUUUAGUUUUUAGAUGCUCAAUUAAUGAAAUUUAUUUAGAAUUCAAUGUAUUUGGAUACAAUCGAGUCUAAAACUUUGAAUACAAUGAGUUUUGCAGGUGCAAAAUUUCAAAGUGACAUAUAUUUUGGAACUAGAGGGACUAAGACCACUUCAGUUACAAUUGUUCACACUAAUUUGUAACAUUAUUUCCACGGUUUAAUUUGGAAUUUGGGGAUUUUACACUAACAUUCCAUGUUGUAUCACAGCUGUGUCUUGUCAUUAAUCUUAAAAUUUUCUUGUAUCCUUGUGGUCAUGUUAUAUCAUAUCUGUCCUCUGUGUUAUAUCCAUGUUCUUGAUCCUCUUGAAUUGAGGUGGAAACCAACAAUGACAAAUAGUUUGAUGUAGGAUUCAUAUGGAUCAUUUCUGAACUAAGUUAGUCUAAAUUUAAUGAAGUAGGGGUGGAUUGGUAGUUACAAAUUGAAUUUCAAUUCUGUGUUUCCAAUUUUUAUUGCCCACUACGGGGAUUAGGAUGUUGAGGGUUAAAAUUGUGAAUGGAUUGACUGUAAAGACAAAGGAAUGAAAUGUCGUACUGUUCUAUUUCAAACACCACAAAUUAAUGAGUAUGAAAGUAUGAUUCUAAGGGAUUGGUUUGGGUUGCCUACUAAAAUCAUUAUUAGUAUGAUAACCCUCUAAGCAAUGGGGUGUUCCUUUUACCUUUACUCCAUCCACUUAACUCCGCUUGGCUGCAUGUAUGAUGAAAAUAUGCUUCAGGUUGAGUUCCUUUUGCCCUGUUAUCUUUUGCUUCAUAUUAAGAUGAGCCCUUUUUCAGAAGAGUCAUAAAAUUUUUGAAUUUUGAAAUCCCUCUCUCCGGUUUGAAGCAAAAGGAAUUCAACCUGCAGCUAGGGUUUAGGGUUUGAAAUUGGAAUGAGGAUGAAAGCCUUGUGGAGAAUUUACUGUUACACUUGUACAUCUUUUAACUUUUACUGGUUGUGGUAAAACGGUAUUCUAACAUUGUGUUUAUGAUAUUUGCAGUAUAUGGGGGAGUUGGGUUUCCAAUUUGACGUGUACCGGAAUGAUGAGUUGACCGUGGAAGAGUUAAAAAAGUAAUAUUCUUUCUUCUUCUUUCUUUUUUUUUUUUAAUGCUUAUGCAUGUAUACCAUAUUGAUAUUCAUGCUGCAAGUUGUGGGAGAAUAGAUAUUCAUAUUCUUAAGGUUCUCAAUUUACGCUAUGGUCUUUUAAAAUAAUCUUCUUUUUUAUUAGGAAAAAUCCUAGAGGAGUGCUAAUAUCACCUGGUCCAGGUAAGGCUUUUCUUGAAUUUUCAUUUAUUGUCAUAGUUUGAUGUUUAUAUAUUAGAUGAAGAAAAUGAAUUAAUAGAAUACAGUCAAUACACACAUAAGACAUAUGAUACACAAUGUUCAACCUUACAGGCACGCCUCAAGAUUCUGGAAUAUCUUUGCAAACUGUACUGGAACUUGGGCCAACUGUUCCUUUGUUUGGUGUAUGCAUGGGUUUGCAAUGCAUUGGAGAAGCUUUUGGAGGUGUGUCUUCUAAGAUUUCUUCAACCUUUAGCCACCACUGAUAUAUUUGGUGCAUAUAACUGACAGCAAGAUCUCUUUGAUAAAUUUGUAUAUUUGUUCACAUUACAUUUUUUUUGGUGCAAACAUGGCUUUUGGUUUCAGCGCAAGCAUCCCCUGUAGUUUAAUUUCCAUCAUUUUCAUUUCUUCCCUUUUUCUGGACAGUUGAAAUAGGAUUAAGACAUUAUGCCUUUAACCUGUGCAGGGAAAAUUGUUCGAUCUCCUCAUGGUGUCAUGCAUGGGAAAAGUUCUUUGGUGUAUUAUGAUGAAAAAGGAGAAGAUGGAUUAUUUGCCGGAUUAUCAAAGUAGGGAUUCAUUGAUAUUAUUUAUGAAAUUCGAUUUUUGUAUUCUGAUUUGUUUGAUUUUUUCUAUUUUCUAUUUUUGAGUUGUGUCAUUAGUUGGCCUUACCGCGCUGUUAUUUUCAGUCCUUUCUUAGCUGGUAGAUAUCACAGCCUUGUGAUCGAAAAGGAGAGUUUUCCUCAUGAAGAACUUGAGGUGACAGCCUGGACUGAGGAUGGUCUUAUAAUGGCAGCUCGUCACAAGAAGUAUAAGCAUCUACAGGUAACACCCUAUUCCUUAUAUGGGGAUUUCUUUUGAUCAGAUCAAGAAAAGAUUCAUCGCCCUUCUCUUAAAUUCAUGAAAAUAGUGUAAUCUGGUUUUCAAUUUUGAUAUGGAGUUUAGCUGACAGCUUUUGAAAUAUUUUGAAAUUUCAUGGACCUGAAUUUAGAGUUUGUAGAGAUCUUGGUCAUCAUCACUUUUGUUUAAUAUGUGCUUCGUUACUAUUUUGAUGUCCGAGAAGUCAAUUUGGGUAUAAUACACUACAAAGGUACAUAGCAUGAGUUAAUAAAUCAGUACGUCUGUGUAGACACUAAACUGUGCUGCAUAUUAAAAUAUAAACUCAAUUGAGAAUUUGAUGUUUGAAAAGGUGAAUGUACAAAUCAAGAAUUUACUCUCUGGCAUUGAAGGGGUUAUUUUGGUUGUUCAUGCUUUUAUUAACCGGCAAUUCUGUGCUAAAGUUUAAGUUCUUCAAAAUUGCAGGGUGUGCAGUUUCAUCCAGAGAGCAUUAUAACAACCGAAGGAAAGGAAAUUGUUCGAAACUUUAUCAAACUCAUUGAGAGAAAGGAGGCUGGUGGUUCAUGAAAAUGUUUAGUGCUGAAUCUUAAUGCAUUGCAACAUUUGUGGUGUGAUGACCACAUACAUCAAAGGGAAAACAGUUUAAGAAAUUCAUUGGCAAAACUAUAAGUUAGGCUGGAGUGAAAUUGAUUCAUUAUACUAUAAGCGAUAAAUGUGAUUGUUGUAGACCUACAAAUUUGGC
rnacentral:lncRNA from 1 species